UACGUAGGUGGCAAGCGUUGUCCGGAUUUACUGGGCGUAAAGAGCGCGCAGGCGGUCGAUUUAGUCGCGUGUGAAAGCCCCCGGCUCAACUGGGGAGGGUCACGCGAUACUGAUCGACUCGAAGGCAGGAGAGGGUAGUGGAAUUCCCGGUGUAGUGGUGAAAUGCGUAGAUAUCGGGAGGAACACCAGUGGCGAAGGCGGUUCUCUGGGACGAUACUGACGCUGAGACGCGAAAGCGUGGGGAGCGAACAGG
rnacentral:rRNA from 1 species